rnacentral:rRNA from 1 species
CCUGGCUUAGGAUGAACGCUAGCGACAGGCCUAACACAUGCAAGUCAGGGGCAGCACAAGGAGCAAUCUGAGGUGGCGACCGGCGCACGGGUGAGUAACACGUAUGCAACCUGCCUGUAAGCGGGGAAUAACCCGUUGAAAGACGGACUAAUACCGCAUAAUACUAAAUUACUGCAUGGUAAUUUAUUUAAACAUUUAUGGCUUACAGAUGGGCAUGCGCAUGAUUAGCUAGUUGGAGAGGUAACGGCUCCCCAAGGCAACGAUCAUUAGGGGUUCUGAGAGGAAGGUCCCCCACACUGGUACUGAGACACGGACCAGACUCCUACGGGAGGCAGCAGUGAGGAAUAUUGGUCAAUGGACGAGAGUCUGAACCAGCCAAGUCGCGUGCAGGAAGAAUGUCCCUAUGGAUUGUAAACUGCUUUUGCAGGGGAAUAAAGUGCAUCACGUGUGAUGUUUUGUAUGUACUCUGCGAAUAAGGAUCGGCUAACUCCGUGCCAGCCGCUGC